UUGUUGUUGUUGUUUUUUCAGGGAUUCCAGAUUAUCAUCCACCACAACAUGUCCUUGAUGAGUUUGCAAAAACUAUAACCAGUUCGGAAAAUUCACUGUUCCACCAGUACACUAGGUCUUAUGGCCACCCACAUUUGGUGAAAACACUGGCCCAGCUGUACAGCCCUAUCAUGGGCAGACAGAUUGAUGCUAUGUCAGAAGUGAUGGUCAGUGUUGGAGCAUUUGGUAUUUUAUUCUCUACCAUACAGGGGCUGGUCAACCCCGGAGAUGAGGUGAUUAUAAUAGAACCAUACUUUGACUGCUAUGAACCAAUGGUUAGAGUGGCUGGUGGAACUCCCGUGUUUAUUCCUCUAAGACCAG